rnacentral:ribozyme from 1 species
AAGCUGAAAUGCAACGGCUAGUUUGAAUUCAUUGAUUUUUAUUAAAAUUAUUAGUUCAAAAAAAAAAAAAAAAAAAA